GGGGCCGCCGGCACAGGGAGGGGCUCUGAGGACACAAAGUUGGGUCCAGGGGGAGAAAGAACGUUCCGGCAGCCUCAGCAAGCCGCUUGUGGGGCGAUAAGCACCCAUCACUGGGCUGGGUGGGUAGUGGGCUCGCAGGCGCCCGGGAAUGCGCUCUACCUGGGACAGUCCAGCACCCCCAGUACCCCCCGCGUGACCUCAAGCCUCUCUGAGAACAAACAGCUCCAUGUUUGGCCGGCUCUCGCUCCCCACCCAGCCGGCCGAGCAGACUGACAGGCACCCGGGACGGAGCAGGAAGGAAAUGGAGUACUGCUGCACCCCCGAUGGCCAGGACAGGUCCUGCCACCCUGAUGCUGGGUGAGCGCGUCCAGGGAGCUCUAGACAGGGGAUCUUCCUGGCCUGCGGAUCGAACCCGCAUCUCCUGCGACAUCUGCAUUACAGGCAGAUUCUUUACCACUGAGCCACCGGGAAAACCCUGAAUGCAUGGGUCCGGGACCACACCAUCCUGCGCCACCCAGGCCUCAGGGACCCCCACCCUGUGCCAGGACCCUGGAGACCUGUGUCCCUGGUGAUGGGCAUGCCUCCAGGCCUGGACAGAACCUUCCUGGCUGUGGGGUCCCGUGCAAAAGACCCAGGCCCCAGCCCCUCUGCAUGUGGCCAGGCCUCUUGCCGGGCUGGCGCAGCCGUCUCUGCCUAGCCACACGUCAGCCUGGCUUCCUUGGACCCGCAGUGGAAAUUGACUCUGAUUUGUAGAAUUUGGUUCAAAACCUACAGGAUUUUUAAUUAAAACCCGGAAAAUCCAUCUGUGUAAUUAAGCCUCCGGAAGUCAGCGGCUGUGAGAUGAGAGUCCGGUUGGCACCGCCUGUCGUCAGCUGCCCACUGAGGCGCGACUCGGGGAUGGCUGGCCUAGGGGGCUGAUGGAGCCUCCCUCCAGCGGGUCUCCUCUCUGGACUGGGCCAGGGGGACCCUGUGCGUGGAGAGCCCUCCCCAGGCAGGGCGGCUUGCGUCUCCUGGGUGCGGGUUGCAGGACCCCGGGACCUCAUCCCUCACAUGGUGUUUAGGUGGGGGUGGGGAGGGUGUAUCAUAGGAUGGUAACCACCAAGGGCUGUGCUUGUGGGGAUGGGUGGGGGCCAUACUGGCCAGGUAGGUCACCCCAGCUACACAGACCGUGUCUCCGCUGCUCACGUGAGCCUGUGCUCAUCCCUCAGGGUCAUUGCAGCCAUGGAAGCUGUGCUGAGCCCCUGGGGCAGGCCCCAAGGUUGAGGGAGGCAGGCAGGGUCAGGGGAAGCUGAGGUUGGGGGUUUGUCUACGGUUUGGGAAGGUAUCGAGGUAGGACCGCAGCCCAGGACCUUGAGCGGGACUGUCUUUACAACUUGCUGGGGACCUGGCUUGAAGCACCGGCGGGGGACUGUGACCCCCAGUGCCUGCCCAAGAGCUCUUCAUGGGUCCCAGUCCAGACCAGCCUGGGGCUCCAGAUGUACACGGCACUGUCGAGUGCCAAGGUCCUCAGCUCUGCCCUAUGCCAGCUCCAGGGUCUGGGGUGACCUCAGAGCGAGAGUGGGUGCAGGCCCUGGAGGAAUCAGGCUGGUGACAUCAGUCUGAGAAGAGGG
ensembl:lncRNA